rnacentral:rRNA from 1 species
AAUAGAUACCCCGGUAGUCCUGGCCCUAAACGAUGAAUGCUUGGUGUGGCGGGUAUCGAUCCCUGCCGUGCCGAAGUUAACGCGAUAAGCAUUCCGCCUGGGGAGUACGGUCGCAGGCCGAAACUCAAAGGAAUUGACGGGGGCCCGCACAAGCGGUGGAGCAUGUGGUUCAAUUCGACGCAACGCGAAGAACCUUACCUGGGCUCGAAAUGCAGAUGACCAUCGGCGAAAGUCGACUUCCGCAAGGACNUCUGUAUAGGUGCUGCAUGGCUGUCGUCAGCUCGUGUCGUGNGAUGUUGGGUUAAGUCCCGCAACGAGCGCAACCCUUGUUCUCUGUUGCCAUCAGGUCAAGCUGGGCACUCUGAGGAGACUGCCGGUGACAAACCGGAGGAAGGUGGGGAUGACGUCAAGUCAGCAUGGCCUUUAUGUCCAGGGCUACACACGUGCUACAACUGGCCGGUACAAACGCGCUGCAAGCCCGCGAGGGUGAGCCAAUCGCAUAAAGCCGGUCUCU